rnacentral:rRNA from 1 species
GACAGAGGGUGCAAACGUUGCUCGGAAUUACUGGGCGUAAAGCGCGUGUAGGUGGAUUGGUGUGUCAGAUGUGAAAUCCCUGGGCUCAACCCAGGAACUGCACCUGAAACUACCAGUCUUGAGUGGUGGAGAGGGAAGUGGAAUUCCUGGUGUAGAGGUGAAAAUUCGUAGAUAUCAGGAGGAACACCAGUGGCGAAGGCGGCUUCCUGGACACCAACUGACGCUGAGACGCGAAAAGCGUGGGGGAGCAAACAGG